rnacentral:rRNA from 1 species
GAUGAACGCUGGCGGCGUGCCUAAUACAUGCAAGUCGAGCGAACGGACGAGAAGCUUGCUUCUCUGAUGUUAGCGGCGGACGGGUGAGUAACACGUGGAUAACCUACCUAUAAGACUGGGAUAACUUCGGGAAACCGGAGCUAAUACCGGAUAAUAUUUUGAACCGCAUGGUUCAAAAGUGAAAGACGGUCUUGCUGUCACUUAUAGAUGGAUCCGCGCUGCAUUAGCUAGUUGGUAAGGUAACGGCUUACCAAGGCAACGAUGCAUAGCCGACCUGAGAGGGGAAUCGCCACCACUGAACUUGGAACACGUCCCAGACUCCAACGGGAGGAGGCGGUGGGAAUCUUCCGCAAUGGGCGAAAGCCUGACGGAGCAACGCCGCGUGAGUGAUGAAGGUCUUCGGAUCGUAAAACUCUGUUAUUAGGGAAGAACAUAUGUGUAAGUAACUGUGCACAUCUUGACGGUACCUAAUCAGAAAGCCACGGCUAACUACGUG